UAAUGGAAAAUUGGCAUGAAAGACGAGCUACUAUGGAAAUUUAAUCACAUUCACAUCUCACACAAUACAUCAUCAUCAUUGAGAUUGCUCCAGGCGACGAACGGCCGCAGGACGACUCCAUUAAUCAAGGCCGCAAACAAGCGUGGCAGAGCCUGGGGUCGGAGGUCAGACCGAUGACAGUGCCGGGGUGAUAUGCAAUGCAAGUGGGUGUUGGUGUGUGUAUGCUCUACUCUACUCUACUCUGGCCCACACACACACACAUAAAUACAUAAAUAAUUAGAAUGAUUCUUUAAAGGGCAAAUUACCUAAUUUGAAACGCUUUGAAUAAUUACCCCAGACUAAAAUUUUAGUCCUUUCAGCAGAGCAGAGAAAAUCUGUUUUAAAUGCCGGAGCAGGGGACCAGCAAAAGAUACUAGACACUCGCCAGAGACUGCACUAAGCGGCUUAAUGCCCCCAAAAUGAAGAUAAAGUGUUUUUGGACCAAUGCAAUUCCUCCGAGAGAAGGAGAGAUACAGACACAUUUUAAGUCCAAGCUGUUUGAAAAUAAUUAGAGCGUUUACUGACCGCCUCCCACUAAUUUUCCGAUUUUCCCCGCAAAAUGUUGAAAGCAGAGAUAAAUCAAGAUGGAGACAUAACUAGACGCUGAUGGAGGAGCUCAAGCAUAUUUAAUGGCUGCAGCAAAUUGUUGAAUUUAAGCAUUAUAUUAUAGAGAUCAUGACAAAUUGCCGAAUACCUUUAACGCACUUGACCGGAUUUUGCUUUGGGAACAGCACAGCAAACCAACCAAAAGGACCCACCAGACACUUGUUCAAAUCCAAGAAGGAGCCACGUCCCAAGUGACCCAAAAGGACACGCAGCGAACCCUUGACUCCGAUGAGAGGUCUGAGGAAGUCUGGGAGGGGCCUCAGCUUGAAGUUAAAUAAAUUAAGGGCAAUUAGGCGCAGCAUUACAGUCACAAAAGCUACCUUAAACAGAAACAGAAGCACUCCUCUCCUCUCCUCUCACUUGAAACUCCGCCAGGACCAGGUGAUUUUUUAAAUUAUGAACGCAAAAAUGUUUUUUUUUUGCGCUGGCAGACAAACUCAAAAGUCAUCUUCUUCACGGCGGCUGCUGUGAUUUUUAAUUGCGCACUUUACACUGUAAAUUUAACAGUUUUGAAACCCCCAACCCGAUGGCGGAAGUUGUUCGGCCUCAAAGAUUAGCGGUAUGUUUUUUCUUCUGCUUCUUGGCCAGGCCCAGACACAAGUGCAGAAAGCGUAGCGCAAAUAGCAAAUAGCAAACAGCGUUUUUGGCCAAUUAAAUGCGGCUAAUUGUUGCGUACCGAGGAGAGUGCGCUGAAUGCGAAACGUGAAAGUCAACAAAAUUUAUAUACCUAUAGAAGAAGUUGGGGGAGUCAGCCAAGAGUGAAAAAAUAUAUAUGGUAAAGAAAAAAGAAAUCGACAAAAUUUGUUGAUCAUAUGCAACACCGAUCAGCAUUUUUCCUACCCAACUUCCGCCGUCAGAAAAAAUGUAUUUUGCAUAAUGGCCGAGUUCUACUUUCGCCAACUCAAGCAAAAGAUCAUCAAAGACGGUCAAGCGUGGCCAAAAGUGUUGGGGGGAGAGAGGAGGGGAAAUGGUUUAAGCCAGAAAGGAAGUACGGUUUUUUAAUGUGGCAAAUAAAGUAUUAAUUUAUUCCAGUA